rnacentral:rRNA from 1 species
GGCAACCCUGACGGAGCAACGCCGCGUGUGGGAGGACGGCCUUCGGGUUGUAAACCACUUUUCUCAGGGAAGAAGGACUGACGGUACCUGAGGAAUAAGCCUCGGCUAACUCCGUGCCAGCAGCCGCGGUAAUACGGAGGAGGCAAGCGUUAUCCGGAAUUAUUGGGCGUAAAGCGUCCGCAGGGGGCACAUCAAGUCUGCUGUUAAAGGCUGGAGCUUAACUCCGGUAAAGCAGUGGAAACUGGUGUGCUAGAGGGCGACAGGGGUAGAGGGAAUUCCCAGUGUAGCGGUGAAAUGCGUAGAGAUUGGGAAGAACACCGGUGGCGAAAGCGCUCUACUGGGUCGCACCUGACCCUCAGGGACGAAAGCUAAGGUAGCG